rnacentral:rRNA from 1 species
GACGAACGCUGGCGGCGUGCUUAACACAUGCAAGUCGAACGAGAAAGCACCUUCGGGUGUGAGUACAGUGGCGAACGGGUGAGUAACACGUGGGCAACCUGCCCUGGAGACUGGGAUAACGUUCCGAAAGGGACGCUAAUACCGGAUGACGCGCAAUCUGCCAAGUAGGUCGCGCCAAAUGGUAGCUUCGGCUUCUACUCUGGGAUGAGCUCGCGUCUGAUUAGCUAGUUGGUGAGGUAAUGGCUCACCAAGGCUUCGAUCAGUAGCUGGUCUGAGAGGAUGAUCAGCCACACUGGGACUGAGACACGGCCCAGACUCCUACGGGAGGCAG